GAUGAACGCUGGCGGCGUGCCUAAUACAUGCAAGUAGAACGCUGAAGGAAGGAGCUUGCUCUUUCCGGAUGAGUUGCGAACGGGUGAGUAACGCGUAGGUAACCUGCCUGGUAGCGGGGGAUAACUAUUGGAAACGAUAGCUAAUACCGCAUAACAGUAGUUUUUGCAUGAUAUCUACUAAAAAGGUCCAUUUGCACCACUACCAGAUGGACCUGCGUUGUAUUAGCUAGUUGGUGAGGUAACGGCUCACCAAGGCGACGAUACAUAGCCGACCUGAAAGGGUGAUCGGCCACACUGGGACUGAGACACGGCCCAGACUCCUACGGGAGGCAGCAGUAGGGAAUCUUCGGCAAUGGACGGAAGUCUGACCGAGCAACGCCGCGUGAGUGAAGAAGGUUUUCGGAUCGUAAAGCUCUGUUGUAAGAGAAGAACGAGUGUGAGAGUGGAAAGUUCACACUGUGACGGUAUCUUACCAGAAAGGGACGGCUAACUACGUG
rnacentral:rRNA from 1 species